GCAGUGAGGAAUAUUGGUCAAUGGCCUAACGGCUGAACCAGCAACUUGGAGGAAUGUAUAGGGAAAACUGGUAAAAUGUGAUGUACCUAGUAAUAUUAGUGAUUAAUAUGAGAUUAACUAAGUUAAUUAAAAUUCAAAGUAGAUUUUGAUUAUGACAGAGUUUGCUUAUGUCUUGGCCAAGUCACGUGCCAGCAGUCGCGGUAAUACGUGGAAGAUAAGCGUUAUUCAUCUUUAAAAGGUUUAAAGGGUACCUAGACGGUUAAUUAAACAUUAAAAAUGAAUUAAUUAACUAGAGUUUAAUGUAAGAGAGAUUGAGUACGGUGAGUGUAGUGAUAUAAUAUUAUGAUACAACUAUGGAACUGGUAAAGGCGAAGGCCACUUUCUAUGUAAAAACUGACGUUAAGGGACGAAGGCUCGUAUUUAAAAAACAGGAUUAGAUACCCUGGUAUUUCGGGCAGAAAAUGAUGAGUGUCAUAUGCAAGAGAUUUUUUUUGUGUAUAAAUGAAAGUGUAAGCACUCCACCUCAAGAGUAACAUGGCAACAUGGGAACUGAAAUCAUUAGACCGUUUCUGAAACUCGUAGUGAAGUAUGUUGUUUAAUUUGAUGACCCUCAAACAACCUUACCACAAUUUGUAUUACUAUUAUAAGUAGUAACAAGCGUUGCACGGCUGUCUUCAGUCAAUGUUGUGAAAUUAUGGUUAGAUCCAUUAAAUUGACGUAAACCCUUGCUUUAUUUAAUAUAAAGUAGUUCGCCGGUAUAUUGGUAAUGAUAUAAGGGACUAAGACAAGUCAUCAUGACCUGAAUAUUGUGGGCUAUAGACGUGCCACAUAUAAUAAAAAUUUUAGGGCCUGGAAAAUUUGUCUAAAGUCCUUUAUAUCUCUCCCAAUUUACCGGGAAAAUCUUAUAAUUAAU
rnacentral:rRNA from 1 species